AAAUGGAAGAACAAUUACAAAAAAAGGAAAACCAAAAGUACUGUAAUGUUUGCGGACUCAAGCAGACAUAAAAAGCUAGAGACACCAAAAGCUGUUACACCUAGAGCUGUUACUAAGGGAACAAAGGGACAAGUUCAUACAAAUUCAUCUAAUAUAGGUGAUCUGUUUUCAGAAGGAUCUCUGAAUCCUUAUGCAGAUGAUCCCUAUGCAUUUGAUUAGAGUAUGAAGUGUUUGGGUCGACCGUGAAGAAGCCAGUGCAAAAAAAAAAAAGGAUUUGUCUACAAAAAAGGUGUCGAAGCUGAGAAGCUGAUUUGUGUUAGCGCGCUUGACAUGUUUGAGGCUGCUGAUGAUGAGGUUAUGUGUUGCUCUAUUCUCAUGCAUAGAUACCUGAACUUGGAGAUUGUUCAACUAUGUAGCCAGACCUUUAAGGUGUACCAUCGUGUGGCUUGUCGAAUUGAACUGACC